AGGCAGCAGGCGCGCAAAUUACCCACUCUCAGAAUGAGGAGGUAGUAAAGACAAAUAUCGAUACAGAACUCCUAAAGAGGCUCUGUAAUCGAAAUGAGUGCAUUAUAAAUCCUACAACGAGGAUCCAUUGGAGGGCAAGUCUGGUGCCAGCAGCCGCGGUAACUCCAGCUCCAAUAGCGUAUAUUAAAGUUGCUGCAGUUAAAAAGCUCGUAGUUCGAUCUGGACUGUGGUGUGAAUGCGCGUGUGGAGUGUGCGUUCGCGGGGUGGGGUAGUGCGCAUGCACGCCUCAUAUACAACUCGUGUUCGUGUGCUUCAGCGUGUAAAUUCACGCCUAGUCUCCAAGCUGUGUCUGUGUGGUGAUGUCGGGUUCGGCUCCGGUCGGGUUCGGCAUGGCCAUAUAGGUGGUGUCGAGUUUAAAUCGUGCUGUCUCCUUUUCAUGGGGGGUCAGUGCGGCUCGGCGUUAUGCUUUGUAAUAGCGCAUUCGCGAAAGUGGGUGUCGCUCAUGCUCUUUACUGGGUGUGCAAAGCGGACAGCACGUUUACUUUGAACAAAUUUGAGUGCUCAAAGCAGGCUACAAAUUGCCUGAAAWGUCUUGCAUGGAAUAAUGAAAUAGGACUUCGGACCUAUUUUGUUGGUUUGAUAGACCCGAAGUAAUGAUAAAGAGAGACAGACGGGGGCAUUUGUAUGGCGGCGCUAGAGGUGAAAUUCUUGGACCGUCGCCAGACAAACUAAAGCGAAAGCAUCUGCCAAGUAUGUUUUCAUUUACCAGGAGCGAAAGUCAGAGGUUCGAAGACGAUCAGAUACCGUCCUAGUUCUGACCAUAAACGAUGCCAACUGAUGAUCCGUGGAGUCUCCACUAUGUGAACCCACGGGCAAUCUCCGGGAAACCUGUAAGUCUAUGGGUUCCGGGGAAAGUAUGGUUGCAAAGCUGAAACUUAAAGGAAUUGACGGAAGGGCACCACCAGGAGUGGAGCUUGCGGCUUAAUUUGACUCAACACGGGAAAACUCACCCGGCCCGGACACUGUGAGGAUUGACAGAUUGAAAGCUCUUUCAUGAUUCGGUGGUUAGUGGUGCAUGGCCGUUCUUAGUUCGUGGUAUAAGUUGUCUGGUUAAUUCCGAUAACGAACGAGACUUCAUUCUGCUAACUAGUACACACGUAACUUUGUGUAGUGGAUGCCUUGCUGUACCCUGUGUACGGCAUUGUCGGCCCUGCAUAAGCGUGUGAGACUUCUUAGAGGGACAGGUGGGCAUGUAAACCACACGAAAAGAAGCAAUAACAGGUCUGUGAUGCCCUUAGAUGUCCGGGGCCGCACGCGUGCUACAAUGACGGUGUUAGAGAGUUUGAUUUCCUCAUUCGAAAGGAUGGGGCAAACUUUUCAAUCACUGCCAUGACUGGGAUCGGGGUUUGUAAUUGUCCCCCGUGAACGAGGAAUUCCUAGUAAGUACAAGUCAUUAGCUUGUGCUGAUUACGUCCCUGCCCUUUGUACACACCGCCCGUCGCUACUACCGAUUGAAUGGUUUAGCAAGGUCAUUGGAUUGAUGCUCACGCGGUGACAAACCGCCGAGCGUUGAGAAGAUGACCAAACUUG
rnacentral:rRNA from 1 species